AGCAGUCGCCGCGGUAAUACGGAGGGUGCAAGCGUUAAUCGGAAUUACUGGGCGUAAAGCGCACGCAGGCGGUCUGACAAGUCAGAUGUGAAAUCCCCGGGCUUAACCUGGGAACUGCAUUUGAAACUGUCAGGCUGGAGUCUUGUAGAGGGGGGUGGAAUUCCAGGUGUAGCGGUGAAAUGCGUAGAGAUCUGGAGGAAUACCGGUGGCGAAGGCGGCCCCCUGGACAAAGACUGACGCUCAGGUGCGAAAGCGUGGGGAGCAAACAGGAUUAGAUCCCCAGUAGUCCCUGUCUCUUAUACA
rnacentral:rRNA from 1 species